rnacentral:tmRNA from 1 species
AAUGGUUUCGACGGGGGCAAGUUGCUCCUGGGAAGCGAGUCGAAGGGAUCCUGUACCUGCGUUAAAAAACUGGGAACUUAAAUAUAAUUGCAAACGAUAAUUUUGCAUUAGCUGCCUAAUAGUUGCAGCUCGUCAGCCUAAGAGUCCCACGACUUAGGGCCUGGCGUCGACAGUGGGGAACCGAGCCUUACAAAGCUUUGAGUAAGGAACGGAAUUAAUGAAGCUACUAAAUCUAAGAGCCUGUUUAUCGGCGCUUAGAGGAGGGAAUGUAAAAGGAUAAACUGCACUCGGAGAUGCCCAGGGGUUGCUGCUUUCGGACAGGGGUUCGAUUCA